ACUGCCCAGACUCUCCAGAGCCAGCAGAUCAGGACAACCAACUUGAGUCAAAAAAUGGUGGCCACUGUUUUCCUAUUGGAAAUCAGUUGUCUCAGGCAGUCUCCAGCCUGCUGCUGCUGCUGGUUGGCUGGAAUUCCAAGCCAGGGGGUCUUAACAUCUGAGAUGCCAUAGGACCUCAGGUACUCUUUCAUAGCAACACAAAUGGAUUAACAGAAAGUUGGUACCAAGAGGUGGGUUAUCUCUAUAAAGUCACCUGAAGAUGUAGAAGCAGCUUUGGAACUGGGAAAUGGACAGAGUUUGGAAAAGUUUGGGAAUCUCAGAAGAAGACAGGAAAAUAAGAGUACCAAAGACGUGAACUUAAAACCACAACCUGGAUCUUUCUCUUUGUCAAUCUUGAUGAUCACAAAUAUUCACGAGUUCCCACAUCACAAGAAAACUAACGUUUUGAAUUGCUCUCAUCACCUCGAUGUUUAUAUUUAUGAUGUUUGAAGUUGCCUCUUCAUAUAAAUGUGCCAUGGGAAAUGAUUACCAUUCUUUAAUUUACCCUUUAGUUUUUGUUUUGGUUAUCCUGGUAAAUAUUGUCAUAUUGCUAUCGGUUUAGAACUACAGUUUAUGUGAUUGAGGUUUCAAUAUAAUAUUGUCAUUUAUACAUUUCUGUUGAAGAGAGUUGCCUCAGUUACUCAUAAAUUUAGCUGCUGGCUGGAAACAUUUUUCUGAAAAGAAGGAUUUAAAAGAAACUAGAAUUUAGCCUCGAACAAUCUGGGUGUCUGGAGUGCUAAACUCCUGUGUAGUUGAAAACCUGCAUACAGUUUUUUAUUUUUAAAGAGUUUAAUUACAAACAGCCUACUAUUGAGAAGAAGGCUUAAUUUCAUAAACAGUUAAUUAACACAUGUUUUAUAUGUUAUAUUGAUAUGUAUUACAUACUGUAUUCUUACAGUAAAAUUAGCUAAGGAAAAUAAAGUGCUUUUAACAAUCAUAAGGGAAGGAAAACAUUUACUAUUUAGUAUGUGGAAGUAGAUCAUUGUAAAGGUGUUCGUGAUCAUAAUUUUCAUCUUCACAUUGAGCAGGCAGAGGAGGGGGAGGGACAAGAAGACAGGAUUGGUAUUGUUCCAGGUUGUAAGAGGUGGAAGAGGUGGAGGAGGUGGGAGGGGAAGCAGUAGAGGCAGGUACAUAUAAUGUAACUUUACGAAAAAAACAUCAUCACUUCUGUUAAAAUGUUGC
ensembl:lncRNA